rnacentral:lncRNA from 10 species
AAUCAAGCCUGGGCAAUGGCGGGCGCCCCUCCCCCAGCCUCGCUGCCGCCUUGCAGUUUGAUCUCAGACUGCUGUGCUAGCAAUCAGCGAGACUCCCUGGGCAUAGGACCCUACGAGCCAGGUGCGGGAUAUAAUCUCGUGUUGCACCGUUUUUUAAGCCUGUCGGAAAAGCGCAGUAUUCUGGUGGGAGUGACCCGAUUUUCCAGGUGCCGUCCAUCACUCCUUUCUUUGACUCAGAAAGGGAACUCCCUGACCCCUUGCGCUUCCCAAGUGAGGCAAUGCCUCGCCCUGCUUCGGCUCGCGCACGGUGCACGCACCCACUGACCUGCGCCCACUGUCUGGCACUCCCUAGUGAGAUGAACCCGGUACCUCAGAUGGAAAUGCAGAAAUCACCCGUCUUCUGCGUCGCUCACGCUGGGAGCUGUAGACCGGAGCUGUUCCUAUUCGGCCAUCUUGGCUCCUCCCUCUGAAGGUGUUAUGCUGUAGUGACACAAUGGGCAUAUGACUCACUUUGGGAAUGACAGCAGCUCCUUACCCAACACAAGACGUGAAACAAGGGCAGUGACUGCUGACUGGAGGUGAUGAAAAUGAAGAUGGUAUUGUGGGCUCUGAUUCUAGGAAAUGUCCAUAGAUGCAGAUAAGGCUGCUUAAUUCUGAUGUAAGGAAGAGACAAUGAAUUAAUUCACCCCAGGGACCUUUGUGUGGAUCGAAUUAUGUCCUCCCCACCCAAAUUUAUAUGUUGAAGUCCUAACACUCAGGACCUUGGAAUGUGACUGCAUUUGGACAUAGGGUCUUUAAAGAGGUUAUUAAUUAAAUUAAAAUGAGAUCAUUAGAGUGGGCCCUAAUCCAAUCUGGCUGGUAUCCUUACAAGAAGAGGAAAUUUGGACAUCAAUAUACAGAGGGAAGACCACAUGUAGACACGAAGAGAAGACAGCCACCUACAAGUCAAGGAGAGAGGCCUGGGAAGAAACCAACCCUGCUGACCCCUUGAUCUGUGAUUUCUAGCCUUCAGAAUUGUGAUGAAACUAAUUUUUGUUGUUUAAGCCACCCAUUCUGUAGUACCUUGUUAUGGUUUUCUUACCAAACUAAUGCAAUCUUAACUUCAAAUACUGUUUUAUGACAUUGAGUUGCUGUGGAAUGGAUUUUAUUUUAUUUUAUUAAUUUUUUUGAAAUGGAGGAGUCUUGCUCUGUCACCAGGCUGGAGUGCAGUGGCAUGAUCUCAGCUCAUUGCAGCCUCCGCCUCCUGGGUUCAAGCGAUUCUCCUGCCACAGCCUCCCGAGUAGCUGCUAUCACAGGUGCACCACAUGCAGGCCACCACACCUGGCUGAUUUUUGUACUUUUAGUAGAGACAGAGUUUCACUAUGUUGGCCAGGCUGGUCUUGAACUCCUGACCUCAGAUGAUCUGCCCUCCUCGGCCUCCCAAAGUGCUGGGAUUACAGGUGUGAGCCACUGCGCCCGGCCUAUGGAAUGAAUUUUAAUAAAUAAUUAUAAGUAGAUAUUUUUUCAUUUUAAGACACAAAGCAAUGUCAUUAGAAUCUCCUCUUGGGCAGUAGGUGUCAACGAGGUGGGUUUGGUUUUCACUGGCAAAGUGCAAGAAGUCUCCUGCAGGAUUCAAGGACAAGCAUUGCCGUUUGCUUGUCUUACGCAAGGCAGCAGGGUUUAGGCAGUGCAGAGCUAUGGUUAUAAAUACAACCUCUGGAGUUCAAAAGCACCGACCUCACUAGGUCAUUAUGAGGCCUAACUUCAUUAAGAUGUCACACAGUGUCUGCCACACCAUGAAUGCUGCGCUACAGACACUUAUUGAGCAUCUACUAGAUGCCAAAUUCUGUGCUGCUGCUACAAUCCAUUGAGACUUUAACACCCACAUGGAAUACGCAAUUGGGAGAGAGUGAAGGAGUACUGAAGGCAAACUCAGGGGCUACACUUCACAAAAAUAGGAGAUUUGGAAUUUACAAAGAAGAAGAGGAGAAAGAGGAGGAGGAGGGGAAGGAGGAAGAAAAAGAAGAGGAAAAAGAGUAACAACAACAUAAAGCCAUAAGUCAAAGAAGAGUGUAGGGUUGGAUGAUGUUUUUCAAACAUUUUUGCCUGUGACUUACACUAAGAAAUAUACAUCUACACAGUGACCAGCUAAUGCUCCUCCCAUAAUUCACACACAGAUGACUAAAACAGAAGUUUCACAGAACAAUAUUUAUCUUUCGUGAGGCACGCUGAUAUUUUCUUUUUAAUUUCUAUUCAUUUAUAUUAUUUUCUGUAUUUUUCACUUAAAGACAUGCCAGUUGUGGCCUACUGGAUUGAUUUUCCUGCCCCAGUUGAACACAGACAGGAAUAGAGGUCCUUCGUGCAUGCAUGUGGAUUGUGGUUACUGAAGGGUCACAGGAGACUGCACAGGAGGAGGGGACAACUCACGACAGCAGAGUGGGGGCCACAGAGCCAAGGGCAAGCACGGAGGCCCAGGAAGGAAGGAUGGAAAAGAUGGUGCUGAGAACCUGGAAGUGUCGUAUUGAGAACAGAAAACGUACAGGCCAUUGACUGAACAUUCUGCUUGUUAAUUACAUAUUUUGGGAUUUUGAAGAAAAAGACAAAAUGUGUAAGAAGCAGAUUAAAAUUAGAAACAUGAGCAAGAGUAGGUGGUGGGAAAGUUAAAUGUAAGGAAAUAAACUGUUCCAGGACUUUUUUUUUUUAAAGGCUUUUAUUUCAAGGUCAGAAAAAUGUCACGGAAGGAAAAAAAUUAUUAUUUAUUUAAAAAGAAAACUGAAAUGUAAAAGAUAUGACAGAACUCUUCGGGAGGUAGAGAGAGUGAGGAAGAAAAGUGAGUACAAAGCAGAGAGGAAGAAUAUUGUUGCAGAAAAUCAUUGGUUCUAAUUCCCAAUUUCUGCCCAGCAUUGAUGAGGGAGGGGAAUGAACACGCAAUGGAAGCUGGAGAUAGACAUCUGGGAGGCCUCUGUAGGGAUACAAGAGCCAACCUUCUGUAAGAGGGGGAGAAAAAGAAGGAAGAUGUGUGAGCUCCCCCUGGUGCUUUCCCGCAUUCAGGCCAACUGAAAGGAGCUGCAAGGAAACACGUCUACACAGGCAUCAGGAAAAAGAAAAUAUCUGGAUUAUUUCCUUUAAAAAGGCCUGUUUCCAUGCUGAUGGGCCUCAGAGCAAGACUUCCAGGCUUCGGGCCUGAAUUCUGUAUGUCAUCUUAGGAGGAAUUCUUGCCUUGUCAGAGAACGUGUUUCUAAAACAAAAUUUCAAGUGGGGGAUUUGCCAAGCUGUCCUGCGGACAGGAUUACUCUUGGAAUCAAACGGGAUUACUUUUUGUCCAGAAUUGUUCCCUUUGUUAGGCUAGUUAUUCUUUGACUGAAUAAUUUUCACACACUUCUCUUUGUAUGUGUUGACAGCACAAAGAUAUCACAGGAAUCUGGUACCAGCCAAUUUGACUGGUGGUGACUUUAAUUCCAGACAAUAUCUCCUAUCCUAAUAAUAACCUGUAUUCGUAAUGGCCUCUUUAACACUGGGGGUCAGGGACUUCUGUGGACUCCAGUCAUCUGUGAAGAUCGUCGGGGAGAUUUCACUCAGUCUAUUCAGUAUAUCCAGUAUAGUGGCCUGAAACAAUUUAUCAACGUGUAGUCAGUCAGUCCUGCUCUUGGUCCAUACAGUGGAGAGUCUAAAAGAUGUGUGAAAUACAUUCCCUACCUACACAUGGGCAAAUCACUUAAAGGAGCAAACUUUAAUGUUCACUAACAUAGUUAAAAUGGAUGGGCCAACAUUAUCAUGGUUCUUUCACCUCCUAAGUAAAUGCAAAGCUUUUCUUCACUCCAUUUUGUAUGUGUAAUUUUGAUUGAGUGGGAAUCUUGUAAAGCCAAAAAUGGAACUGAAAGCCCACUCAUAAGACCAUAAGUUUUUUUUUUAAUUUUUAAUUUUUCUUUUCAGGCAGGGUAUUGCUGUGUCGCCCAGGCUUGAGUGCAGUGGUGCCAUCAUGGCUCACUGCAACCUCUGCCUCCCAGGAUCAAGCGAUCCUCCCACCUCAGCCUCCUGAGUAGCUGGGACUUACUGUUGUGCACCACCACAGCUGGCUAAUUGUUAGAAUUUUAAUUUUUAUUUUUUUGUAGAGACAAGGUUUUACCAUGUUGUCCAGGCUAGUCUUGAACUCAUGGACUCAGGUUAACCACCUGCCCCAGCCUCCCAGAGUGCUGGGAUUACAGGCAUGAGCCACCACGCCUGGCCAAGACCAUAAAUCUUAAUUAAUCUAGUUCAUAGUCUCAAAUUCAUUCUACUCUCUGAUUUUUAUUUCUCCCAACUUACUGUGUGCACGCACCCCCCCUUUUUAAUGACAUUUCUCUGAUUUGCACUGCCAUCCUCUCUCCUACUUCAGUGAUCCAGCAUCCACAAUUCAUUUUGUCAUAGGUGAGGCUUACCUCUUUCCUGUCAGUUCUUCACCUGUACAGAUUGCUUCCUUUUCUCUUUUUGCACUUAUUGUUUGCAACACCCAAUGACUUCUUGUAGAGAGCCCAAUUCUGUAGUUGAUAAAACCCACACAUGCACGUAUGUUACAUCUGGCUCGGAAUUGGAAGCUCCAUGGAGAAAGGAAAUGGCUUUUGUUUCUUCAGUAUCUUCACACUCCCAAAUGUGCUGAUAUCUUUAGUCGUUCUUAGCUAAAUGAGUCAAUUGAAAUAAUAAUCUGGAGGGAUUUUUUUAAAUCUCAAAAAUUUUCUAAGUCCCAUGUCUCUUAAAUGAAAAAUUGUCAAAUGAAGGAGCCAUUUUCAGGAUUUUAAUUUAUGUAUUAAUGGUACUCUACUUCCACCCCAAAAGGAUUUAAGAGUCCAACAGAAAAUUUUAAGUACCUGUUUAAAGCAAUUUACAAGAUACUGUGGAGAUUCCCAGCAAUAAAGAAUGUACUAUAGUUAAGCUGGAAUCCAACUCCUGAAUUUCUGGAGCCCUGAAGACCACUUAGUCUUACUCACAAGAAUUGAAUGGAAUGUGAAUCUACACUCAGGUGAAGCCAGGGUAUUUUGAACGUCCCUACAAGACUGAAGCACCACUGGGAAAUAAGUAAUAGAGAUGCCAUCAUUGUGGAGGUCAUAAUGCUUGUCCUGAACACGAGGGGUCUCUAGUGAGGCACCAAUUCAGCUCCUCUUCUGUGGAGAGACUACAUGGGUGCUGAAGAAACAAAGACACAACGCAGCUCCUCUCAAAGGAGUUCAGAGCUUAGCAGGGGAGACAGAACCAUGAAUGCAUAGUUACGCAUCAAUGUGCUGCACGAGCACUGAAGCCCAAGCACAAGCGGCCUGAGUCCCAAAAACAUUUGCUGACUGCUGUUCUAUCUAGGAUAUCAUCAGUGUGUAGAUGAUCAGAGUUCAUGUCAGUGUUCCUACAAGCCAAUGAAGGUGUUCUGAGGAGGCAGGACCAAGAAAUGGAUGUUGAUGUUUAGGAGACUGUAUGUAAUAUGUAAAUAAAAUGGUAAAAACAGAGAUCUGUGUUCUGAAUGGAAAAAUUCCUACUGAUGCCACCCACUAGUCUGGAACAAGUCAGUCUCAAACAUAACAACAGACACUGGGGAGCUCUCCAACAAAAGAUCACCUCCCAAAGAACAGGAUGGUGUCGAAGACUGAAUGCCAGCCUGAGGAAACAGAAAUACUACAGAAGCACGCCAGAGCCUGCAGUGUCUCCUCGCUGCCUCUCAAUGAACUGCUAAAAGACCAAGAACUCUGCUGAGAGAUAAGAAGAGGGGAGGGUGUGCUGCAGGUGGUGCUGGGAGGCCCAGACCUUCUCCUGACAUCUGGGGCUGGCUACAGGAAACAGAAACAUCACCCAGGCCUUGGCGCGAGACAGGACAGAGGCAGAUUGUGACUCAGAUCUGCAGGUGGAAAGUGGGCCUUUCGUUUUCUCCUAGGGGUAGAGCAAAGCCAGAGGGCUCAGUCAGAGGAAACCUAAGGCAGUUCAUGAUCCCUUCAACUUUAUACCAUUUCCUCAAAACUGCCUCCAAACAGUGGGCAACUGGAAAGGUGGUCUGACCUCCAGUGAUCACACAGUAUGCAUUAUAACAGAAGGCUGUCACUGUCAAUUGCAUGGCUCCCUCACUAUGCAUUCCUUCUAUCAAUUUACGACAACACACUGUAGUGAGUACCUGCACAUUGCUGGGUAUUUUGGCAGACAUUGAUAGUAGAUGAAUAACACCUGGUACUUGACCUUGAGACGCUCACUGCCUAGUGUGGGGAACCAAUGGUUGCAAUAUAAAGUAUUAACUAGAGGGAUAGAGGACUGCCUGAGGAUCUCUGCACUCAGAGGAAGGGCCAUGAGAUCAGCCAGGACAGUAGGGAGGCAGUGACUCAUGAAAUUAGCAAGUGGUGAGAAGAGGGCAGUAGAUUCAGCGGCUGCUAAAAAAGGUUACUGAACUUUUUGUUUCAUCAAUGCCAAGAAAUUAAUCUGUUUUAGCCUCUUUCAUGGCCUCUGUUUGAAAUUUUUUAACUUUUUUUUUUUUUUUAGAUUUAGGGGUACAAGGACAGUUGUAUUGCAUGAGUAUAUCAUAUAGUGGUGAAGCCUGGGCUUUAAGUGCACCUAUCACCCGAAUAGCGUACAUUGUACCCACUAGGUAGUAUUUCAUUUCUCACCCUUCUUCCACCUUUUGGAAUCUCCAGUGUUUGUUGUUCUACUCUGUAUGCCCAUGUGUACUCAUUGUUUCACUCCCACUUAUAAGUGAGAACAUGUGCUUUUGACUUUCUGUUUCUGAGUUGUUUCACUUAGGAUAAUGCAUGUUCCUGUUUUGAUUCAGUCAAAAUCCUGGGGUCAGCACUGACAAUGUGAUUAACCCCUGUCCUAAAUUCACUGCAGAGGAACUGCUCCCAUAUGACUACUUAUUACCACCCAAGCCAGAAACCACAAAGAUAUUCUGACCUCUCCUCCUUCACUCCCCACCAACUGGUGAGUAAGCUAGUCACCAAGUCUUGAUUCUACUUGCAAACAUCUUUGGAAGGGAUCUCUCACUCCACACAGUCUCUGUCAUUGCCAAGUAUACCCAUUACCUCUGCUCUGUCCUACGGCUCAUCAUUCCUCAUCUACAUGCUGCACCAACCUCCUAACUCCCAUUCCUCCCCCUCCUAGUUCACUGCCAUAGCGUAAUCUUUCUAUAUCACGGAUCAUAUUGUGUCCGAAAUUGGUGGGUUCUUGGCCUCACUUACUUCAAGAAUGAAGCUGCAGACCCUCGUGGUGAGCGUUACAGUUCUUAAAGGUGAUGUGUCUGGAGUUUGUUCCUUCUGAUCAUGUUCGGAGUUUCUUCCUUCUGGUGGGUUCGUGGUCUCGUUGGCUUCAAGAGUGAAGCUGCAAACCUUCAAGGUGAGUGUUACAGCUCUUAAGGCAGCGCAUCUGGAGUUGUUUCUUCCUCC